CCUACCCCAGAUUUCCUGAUUCAGUCCUGGGGGACCCCACCCAUGAUCUUGCAAUUGAGUCCUGGGGGGACCCCACCCCAGAUCUUCCGAUUCAGUCCUGGGGGGACGCUACCCCAGAUCUUCUGAUUCAGUCCUGAGGGUCCCCACCCAUGACCUUCCGAUUCAGUCCUGGGGGGACCCUACCCCAGAUUUCCUGAUUCAGUGCUGGGGGACCCCACCCAUGAUCUUGCAAUUCAGUCCUGGGGGAACCCCACCCCAGAUCUUCCGAUUCAGUCCUGGGGGGACCCCACCCCAUACCUUCCGAUUCAGUCCUGGAGGGGACCCCAUCCCCGAUCUUCUGAUUCAGUCCUGGGGGGGACCCCACCCAUGAUAUUCUGAUUCAGUCCUGGGGGACCCCACCCCAGAUCUUCCGAUUCAGUCCUGGAGGGACCCUACCCCAGAUCUUCCUAUUCAGUCCUGGUUCGGCCUGAGAAUUUGCAUUUCUAACAUGUCCAGGGACCACAGUUUGAAAACCUCCACGGCUGACAUGUAAUGGGAUGACAUGGUCCAAUAAAUGAAGGAAAAAUAACAGGUGGCAACCUCAGGCAGCUUCAUCCCAACCAGUAAGAAAGUAAAUCCUUUUGUAAACUCAGAGGAAGUAUUAAUAUGGGCGUUUGAGCAAACAUUUAAGUGUUAGGACAAAUAAUUAAAAACUAGCACAGGCACCCCUGAAGCAUGAUAGGAUGGCAACAGAAGGGCUGAUUUAGUUUCCAAGAAAUAACUGACAGGCAAUGUUGUGCGUGUGUCUACUACUUAGGAACCCAAAACAAACCUUCAGACCGUUUUCAUGAGUACUGAGACCAAGAAAACCACUGGGCAGUGGGUGGUCUGGAAAUG
rnacentral:lncRNA from 1 species